UACGUAGGGUGCAAGCGUUAAUCGGAAUUACUGGGCGUAAAGCGUGCGCAGGCGGUUUUGUAAGUCUGUCGUGAAAGCCCCGGGCUCAACCUGGGAAUUGCGAUGGAGACUGCAAGGCUUGAAUCUGGCAGAGGGGGGUAGAAUACCACAUGUAGCAGUGUAAUGCGUAGAGAUGUGGAGGAACACCGAUGGCGAAGGCAGCCCCCUGGGUCAAGAUUGACGCUCAUGCACGAAAGCGUGGGGAGCAAACAGG
rnacentral:rRNA from 1 species